GGUGCUAUGUCCGGGCAAGUUUUUCUUUAUCAUCUCAAGGUGUGUAUGCUAACACCUCUGUAGGAUCAGAACAACCUAAUCUGUAGGUUGAAUAGAUAAACUUAUAAGGAGGAGUCUUAAGUUAAAAAUUAUUCAAACCACCAACUAUCCAUUUACUUCUGACAGUGAAGGUGAUUGUGGGGUCUGACUGACAGCGGACGACAGUAUCCUCAGACUGUCCUCCUCCGAAAAAUGACCCCAUAGGUCGUUUGUGCAAGCAGCAUAUUACGACCUAUUAUUACGUUUUGAGAUCAAGCGCCCUCUAGCAGCCUUAGAAAUUACGACAGUCUCGUUUGUCUGGUGUGUCGUCAUCAAAUGACCUUUGACUGUCGUUACCAUCGUUACUAAUUAAAAAGGAGUGACCCAACAAUUCACCGUACGUCGUUGUCCAGUUUCUUCAGAUCACAUACAUCUCCAUCUCCUACAACAACCUUUAGUGUCCAACAGCUGUUUAUCAGCAGCUCUCUCUCUCUCUCUCUCUCUCAGCUUUUCCUUGCCUAUUUUUCUGAAGUGUUAUUCAUAAUUAAUUUACACAUUUUUGCUCUCUUCCUUUCUCUUUUUCAUCAUGGCAUAUUUUCAGAGCUCAGAAUUGAAUUUUGAUCGGUUAUGUCAAAAAGCUGCUAAUAUUAACAGCUAAAAAGGAAGGCCUGUCGAACUCUUGUCUUGUCUUGUUUGUGGAGAGGGAUGAAUUUGGCCAUCUUGUGUGUUUAUGGAGAAGACCAAAAGCUGCAAAGGCAAAUAUUUCCAAUGGUACGUCUGUGUUGGUCUUAACCCUUUGACUGAACUUUACGUCUUAGCAUGUCUGCGUGUAUUCAUUUCUCCUCUACAGUCAACACUCCCAUCUCUACUGUGAGCACUUCUGUCACUAUCACUAUGACUUUUACAAUUAUAAAAUUAUAUAAUUGUUAUCAACCAUUUUAAUUUGUCUUGAAUAUAGUCACAAUAGAAGGCAACAAUGAUUACAGGAGAUACAUUUUUAGCCUAUUUGUUCAUUAAAGGGAAAAAAAAUAAUGUAUUUUCAAUUGGAGGCUCAAAACUUAAAAUAUUAUUUGGCAUCUUAUAAUGUUUUUCUGUAAACAAACUCUCUUUUUCUUUUUGAAUAUUAGAC